UUGGGGUGAGUCAAUUAUCAGGAAAUUUUAAUUUGAAAGUGAACUAAUCCUUUAAUGUCAGCUUGCUUAUUUUGCUCAAGAUAAUGAUUUAUGAACUCCACAUGUCAUAAAAACAAGAAAUUAUGCUUCUAAACAUAGCUGUCGUUCCAGCCACACAAGUUUGCGAUGCAGUUUGUGAAUGUUCAUUUGAACGAUGGUUUCAGGAAACACCAAAUCGUUGAACUGAACUAUGUUAGUUACGACAGAACUUGUGAUGUUAGCUGGGAAACGCACCCCAGGUUAGUAAUAAGUGAAGCUGGUAAUGUUGUUUGUGGAGUUGUUUAAUUUAUUCUAAUGUUUUUAGGAACAUCAUACUAACCUUUAAAUGGUGUUAAUGACUGUUAAUAUUAAGGGGAAAAAAUGCAUUUUUAUGUUCUUGGAAUGUUACAAAUAAACAUUCCUAUAAUGUUGAGUUGUUGUUAAAAAUUUAGUUAAAAGAACAUUUCAGGAACUUCAUACUAACCUUAAAAAAACUCCACUAACAUUAAAUGUUCCUCAUCUACGUGUGCAGAUGCAUACAUGCUGGCUAAUAAUUGUCCUCUUUACUGUAAAUCAUGCUCAAAUUGAAAGUAAAAUCCAGUAAAUGCCAGCCCAACAUUGACAUUGACCAUGUAAACACUCAAUAAAGUAAAUGUUUUCAACCUUUAGAGGUCAAAUGUUACAGAGCCUAACCUUUCACUUCAAACCUUCACAUUCCAAAGACUCUUUAAUAAUGACAUUUUCAACUUACACAGUCAAAUGGAUGCUGUAUUUGUCUUGUUUCACUUGACUUUCUUUUUAGCCCAAGUUUUACAUCUGUAGCAAUAGUGAUUUAAGUCAUCUUAUGAUCUAUCAUGAGUACGUAUGCAGGGUUUCAAGUUGACUGUCUGACGUCACGACUCGAUCAACCAUAUUCACACUCUUUGGACUGUUAUUUAUCCACUUAAACACACACAAACUGUUAACAUCAUUAUUUUGAAGCACGAAGUGAGAUGGCAGGCCUAGACACAUGUGAAAAGUGAUUGCCUUAAAGUUCUCAAGCAAGUUGUAAGUUGUUAAUACAAAGACAUAAGGGGUGUGACGAUACACUUAGCUCACGGGAUGAUACACGAGAUUGGGUUCAUGAGACAAGACGAUAUUUUAACACUGUUUUUAAGAAAUCUUCAAUGACAAAAUAUGUGACAGAAAGUCACAAAAUGCAAAACACUGUAGGUGCAUUUGGAAAUGUUUUAAGUAAUCUAGGGCCUUCACAAAUGAUAGCCUUUAAAAUCAUUUAAAAUACAUAUAAUAACAAUGAGGCAAUAAUAAUUGGUUCAAAUAAAGUAUCAAAAGCAAGUAAUCAUUUGGUUUUAUUGAACAACACUGUUAAAAUACAUAAUGUAGUAUACAUAAUAUAAACGUGAUCAAUGGAGUAUAUCCCUCCUUCUGUGUCCCAACUGGCACCCUAAACCCUUGCGGUCUUCCUACGAGUCCGCACUUUCUUGAUGUAACACCGCGUUGACUGUCAGGAAAAAGUCUGGCGCAAGACUACGGGACACCCUACGGUCUUCGUGGACUUAUUGGACAUUUUAAGUCCACAAGACCGAAAGUGCACAUGAAGUGUGCCAUUUGGGACAGGGCCGAAGUAAAAGAGCCAAUCGUUAAUUGAUAAAGUCAUUGAGUCACUGCAGCUGCAGUUUGAAGGUCUGGUUCCCAUAGAAACCUGAGACUCCCGCUUAGGACUGCACAUGUGCAUUGGCUCGUCUAGCCUGAAAAGCCUUUUUAACGCUAUUUGAGCACAAGAAACAACAUUUAUGCGAUAGUUCAUGUGAGAUUUUUUUGUUAUUUAAUUAGGAGUUUGCCAAGCAAUUUUUGAGAUUUCAGGAUUCCCCCAUUCAAAUAGAUAGCCUAGGAUUUGGUCUUAAAUGCCGAAAUAGCUGCCCGGAGGCGUUGCAAAUAUGUUUUUGUUGUUUCAUCCUCCUCUGCUGAGACCUUGUUUAGUGUUUAAUGUUCUGUUGGGAUUAAAGGGGUUUCUGUUGUCUGAGUUUUGUGGGUCACAAUUGUGCUGAAGAGUAUAGCCAGGAGAAGAUCAGGAAACACUGAUGAUAUGCAGCAUGUUGCUUAAUUUAAAAAGCAGUGACUGUGUUGCAGUGAUGUCUAUUAACUGCUUGGUUAAGUUGAUGUUUUUUAAUUUCAAUUUUUUUGUUAUUAAUUCAGUUAAAUUUCAGAUGUACGCAAAGUAUUUGAAAAGUAUUUGCAAUUAAACAAAUACAAAUACAUGCAAAUAAAGACAUUAAAUCUACUAACCAGACUGACUUCAUUUCUGUUAUUCGUCUACAGUUCUUUUUGAGAAUUAAUAGAGGUUUAGAUGUUGAUGUGUUAUAUAAAAAAAAAAAUGUAGUCACCAUAAUGAUGAUCAGUGUUUCGUGUAGUUGGGCAGUUUGACUCUUUGAUUUUUAUGUCAGUUUGUGGUUUUUGUAGCAGUGUUUACCAAAACACAUAAUUUGUUACAAAGAACAAUCAUCAGUGUUAGUGGUAGUAAGUUUGAUCAACUCAAAAAUAAGAUAAUUUUCUUGUUAUAUUUAAGGCAAUCAUUUUCCUUAAGUAACAAUCAAAGCUCAAUGAUCAAGUUCUGCCUGUAUUUGUGCAUGUUUCUAACAAAUCAAUUACUAGUAGUUGCGGUAAAAUGACUAUGAAAACAGCGAUAUUGACUCAUCUUAUCUGGUGUGCAUGACCUGUAAAACCAACUCUAAUGUAAUUUUCAUAGUUAUUUAUUGACCAGAGGGUCUUUAUAUUGGAGCUUUGCCUGGAUAUUUCUCACAGCUGAUGAGUCUGCAUCCAGAAUGACGACACCAGUCAUACUCCUUUGCUUCUUUUUGGCAUUCUGUCCCCUCUCUGUUGGGACGCCCCUCACUUGUCCUCCAUCGUUUCUGAAUGAGAGCGCACAGCAGGGAUCAGGGAGACUUUGUGCAACGCUGCAACUGCAGACCAAGUUGCCCUGUCCCAGUGUUAACCUGACAGUGAGAGAAAAUGAGAAGCUGAACCCUGAAAAAUGGCAUCUGGAGAGUCUGUCGCUGAAGGUGGAAAAAACCUGCAGUUUUAUGAUGUUUGAACUAGACAAAGAAAGAGCAUUUUCCUGAAGGAUUCUAUUCAAACAUUCCUAUAAACUCCAUCGAUACACAAUCAGAUUUUUUGUGUGUUUGCAAAAAAUUGCACAUCAGAAAGAGACGUACUCCAACAUUUAAUGACUUUGUCAUCAAGCAUUUAGUGGACAAUCCUGCACAUCCAUCUGAUAACAAAUAUUGGCAGAGAGCAUGGGAUUCUGCAUCGAAAUAUAGAGUGGAAGAAAAGAAUAGCAAUAUACCACGGAGACAAUCCUUCAUGGAUAGAAAAUACUUUAAUACAAAGUUCACACGUGAUUUUAAGAUUAAAGCCUCUAAUAACAGAAUGUUAUACAGAAGCACAAGUAGAAUGCCUAUUUAUGAUGUUACUAACAAAAAUGGUAGACUAAUCACAGUGAGAAGAUUUGACUAUGUUGUGGUUGAUCUUGACAACAACAAUCGGCCAGUUCAUUUUGAACCUGUUUCAGAAGAGUUUGCCGAGCCCAUAGAAAAAAUGAAAUCUGGAGAAACUGUUUCAAUAGGAAGAAGUGGUGCAUCUAGUGGAUCCAGAGGAUUGGGAAGAGUAGUGGAGACAUUAGAAGAAGUUGUAGAACCCGUGGCUGAAGGAGAAAGUAUAGCCAUGUCUGUCAUCGGAGCAACAUCUGCAGCGACUUCAGCAGCUACAGCCUUCGCAUCAAUUACACAUUUUUUGACUUUAUUUUUAAUAUAAGCCAAAAAUUAAAUCAUGUUUUAAAGGGUUAUACUUUAAUGUCUACUGUAUGAACCUCAGUAUAUUAUGCUAGAAAUUCAGAUUUAAUGAUAAUUAACAGUAAUGAGCAAUUUAGUCAACCUUAUGAAAAGUAUUUCUCUACAGUGCUAGCAAUGUGUUAAAAUUGUACCUGUGAAUGUGAACAUAACCAUAAAACUACACCUCUAAAAUUUUAAAAACUUAGUAAAAUCAGAUGCACCCAAAA